rfam:Chryseobacterium sp. IHB B 10212 strain IHBB 10212, complete genome.
CCCUAGCCCCGAUAGAAAUGAAAAUCCUUUUUUGAAAAAAAAGAUUGAAAUGGAAAGCGGGAAAUAGC